rnacentral:rRNA from 1 species
GACGAACGCUGGCGGCGCGCCUAACACAUGCAAGUCGAACGGAGCUUAGAGAGCUUGCUUUUUAAGCUUAGUGGCGAACGGGUGAGUAACGCGUGAGUAACCUGCCCUAGAGUGGGGGACAACAGUUGGAAACGACUGCUAAUACCGCAUAAGCCCACGGUACCGCAUGGUACUGAGGGAAAAGGAUUUAUUCGCUUUAGGAUGGACUCGCGUCCAAUUAGCUAGUUGGUGAGGUAACGGCCCACCAAGGCGACGAUUGGUAGCCGGACUGAGAGGUUGAACGGCACAUUGGGACUGAGACACGGCCCAGACUCCUACGGGAGGCAGCAGUGGGGGAUAUUGCACAAUGGGGAAACCCUGAUGCAGCGACGCCGCGUGGAGGAAGAAAGGUUUUCGGAUCGGUAAACUCCUGUCCUUGGAGACGAGUAGAAGACGGUAUCCAAGGAGGAAGCCCCGGNUAACUACGUG